rnacentral:misc_RNA from 1 species
AAGUCGUAACAAGGUUUCCGUAGGUGAACCUGCGGAAGGAUCAUUAACACGUUAUCCACGUACCUACCUCUUGCGAACUUUUUACUGUUUAAGAGUCGGCAGACCAGCGUAGAUGAUGGAGGUAGAUGUUACUAUGUCCAGCGUGAGGCCCGCCGCCCGCCCUGGUUCUACCUGCCUAACUGACUUCCCUCCCCCCUCAUGUGCUGUGUGUAUUGGGGGGUGUGUGGGCGUGGUUGGAUAUUCUGGUUCAAAUGACUCGAAUCAUAGUAGUUUUUUGUAUUAACCCCUUUUUACAAAUUUGUUGAAUUGUGAUGGUCUGAAGGUAACACUUCAUACUCACGUUAAUAAAACACUAUACAACUCUUAGCAACGGAUAUCUCGGUUCU